AUUGAACGCUGGCGGCAUGCUUUACACAUGCAAGUCGAACGGCAGCACGGGAGCAAUCCUGGUGGCGAGUGGCGAACGGGUGAGUAAUACAUCGGAACGUGCCCAAUCGUGGGGGAUAACGUAGCGAAAGCUACGCUAAUACCGCAUACGAUCUACGGAUGAAAGCGGGGGAUCGCAAGACCUCGCGCGAAUGGAGCGGCCGAUGGCAGAUUAGGUAGUUGGGGGGUAAAGGCUCACCAAGCCUUCGAUCUGUAGCUGGUCUGAGAGGACGACCAGCCACACUGGGACUGAGACACGGCCCAGACUCCUACGGGAGGCAGCAGUGGGGAAUUUUGGACAAUGGGCGCAAGCCUGAUCCAGCCAUUCCGCGUGCAGGAUGAAGGCCUU
rnacentral:rRNA from 1 species